UCGGGUAUGGCGUACCGUUCAGAAACUGGUGGCCGGUACACCGUAUCCCCGCCCACACUAUAGCCACCGUUAGCGGCUAUUAAUGUCAAACUGCGGCCGCACCUCUAACUUCCGGGCUUGCUCGGCGGCACUGGCACAUGCGGAACCUCCUCUAUCUUCCACGCCGCGGGAAGUGUGAUGAUGAUGAUGUAAUCACACUCCCAUUGCUGGCGUGCCUGGCGAGCUGGGGACCCUGGAGGCUGGAUGGCAUUGGGGCUUCUCUCUGCUUUUUGGUUUCCCCAGCCUCUCUCCCUUUCCAGCAGGUGGGCGCUGCAGCAAGCAACAUUCUCCAUGUGCUGGUAUAAAACAGUGACAGCGGCCUGGGGCAACCUUUUUUUUAUGAGGCCUGUGCAGAUGUUUGGGAUGGAUGCACAAUAGCAAUUUGCAUACUCUGCUUGACACAGAAAUUUACUGUAAUUGCCAAGGAAAUUGGGUUCAUUCCGAUGCUUCUCAGAAAUGACAGCUCUGUACAGG